CCAGACUCCUACGGGAGGCAGCAGUGGGGAAUAUUGGGCAAUGGGCGCAAGCCUGACCCAGCAAUGCCGCGUGAAGGAAGAAGGCUUUCGGGUUGUAAACUUCUUUGACAGGGGAAGAGCAGAAGACGGUACCCUGAAAACAAGCCACGGCUAACUACGUGCCAGCAGCCGCGGUAAUACGUAGGGAGCAAGCGUUGUCCGGAAUUACUGGGCGUAAAGGGCGCGUAGGUGGGCGCUUAAGUCAGGUGUGAAAACUCCGGGCUCAACCUGGAGACUGCACUUGAAACUGGGUGUCUUGAGGGCAGGAGAGGAAAGUGGAAUUCCUAGUGUAGCGGUGAAAUGCGUAGAUAUUAGGAAGAACACCAGUGGCGAAGGCGGAUGACUGGACGACAACUGACGGUGAGGCGCGAAAGCGUGGGGAGCAAACAGGAUUAGAUACCCCUGUACA
rnacentral:rRNA from 1 species